rnacentral:tRNA from 1 species
GGGGAUGUGGCUCAGUGUUAGAGCACUUGUCUAGCAUGUAUAAGGCCCUGGGCUUAAUCCCCAGCACUACUA